GUAGCUGGUCUGAGAGGAUGGACAGCCACACUGGGACUGAGACACGGCCCAGACUCCUACGGGAGGCAGCAGUGGGGAAUAUUGGACAAUGGGGGGAACCCUGAUCCAGCRAUGCCGCGUGUGUGAAGAAGGCCUGAGGGUUGUAAAGCACUUUCAGUGGGGAGGAGAGGUUGCAGGUUAAGAGCUAGUGAAUGAGACGUUACCCACAGAAGAAGCACCGGCUAACUCCGUGCCAGCAGCCGCGGUAAUACGGAGGGUGCGAGCGUUAAUCGGAAUUAUUGGGCGUAAAGGGUGCGUAGGUGGUUAGRUAAGUUAUCUGUGAAAACCCUGGGCUUAACCUGGGGGAGACAGAUAAAACUGUCUGACUAGAGUAUGG
rnacentral:rRNA from 1 species